CUGCUCAUAGCUGAUGCGCAAGGACCGUGGGAAUUACAGACACACUAACAAUCAAAUGUUUUUGAACACGGCUAAUGCACUAGAAGUCUCGCCCAUAAGCUUACUUCCGCAUUGAAGAAUAAGGUAGAUACACAUCUCCUACCUGCUUAAGUCAUCCUCCAGUUUUUCCCGUCGCAUCCUCUCUGCAUCCAGCUGCCCCUGCAGACGUCCCUUCUCCUGCCUCA